GAUAGAGAAAAUUUUUUUUUGGAAAUCGGAUGACCGACUCGUGAGUUGGACCAUUUGGUGUGAACCAGGUACAGGGCGCAAAGCAGUUUUUUCUUGUAGGUCAGCCAAAUUUGAACGGAUUAGGACUGUUUGUGUUUUAUUAGAUGUUUAUGAAAUUAUGUUCACCGGAGCGUAAGCUAGGUCUCUUGGAGUGAGCUCUUAUC